CCCAAACGGUGCACCCAGCACAAGCUGUUUUGACAAUUCAUAAGUUUUUUUGCUUUUUUUAAAAAAAAAAAAAACCACCCAACAAAAAGCCCAUGCCAAAGCAUUAUGAGGUUGCAAGGUGCACUGUGUUGUUCAAAGGAUGCAGAAUAUGAAACAGAUGGCUCCGGAAGCCUGGGAGACAGACCUGCUGGGCCCUUUCUGGUGUCACCCAUCCUCUCUGGCUUUAAGAUGCCCAAGAUGAGACCGCAUAAAGAGACCUGAUUUUCAGAGGAUGGGUC